rnacentral:rRNA from 1 species
AGAGUUUGAUCAUGGCUCAGAUUGAACGCUGGCGGUAUGCUUAACACAUGCAAGUCGAACGGUAGCAGGCCUUCGGGCGCUGACGAGUGGCGGACGGGUGAGUAACGCGUAGGAAUCUGCCUCAUAGUGGGGGACAACGUGGGGAAACUCACGCUAAUACCGCAUACGCCCUACGGGGGAAAGCGGGGGAUCUUCGGACCUCGCGCUAUGAGAUGAGCCUGCGUUAGAUUAGCUAGUUGGUAGGGUAAAGGCCUACCAAGGCGACGAUCUAUAGCUGGUCUGAGAGGACGAUCAGCCACACUGGGACUGAGACACGGCCCAGACUCCUACGGGAGGCAGCAGUGGGGAAUAUUGGACAAUGGGCGCAAGCCUGAUCCAGCAAUACCGCGUGUGUGAAGAAGGCCUUAGGGUUGUAAAGCACUUUCAAUUGGGAGGAAAACCUGUCGGUCAAUACCCGGCAGCUUGACAUUAUCUUUAGAAGAAGCACCGGCUAACUCCGUG